AUAGAUGACCUGGAAGAACGCCCAGGAGGUGGCUCCCCCUCAGCCCCUGCUUGAGAGGCUUGCUCCCACCUCGGGGAAGCAGGGCUCCUCCCAAGGCUUUGUUCACAAUGGAGGCUUACAGCAAGAGCCACCAGCACGGCAUGCUCAACGAUGCAUGCACUAAGUGGAAGAAUUUCCUGGCCAUGCAUCCCAACUCUGGCCCCAGCUGCACGCUGUCCAGGAAAAGGAGGAACCCAGGUGGUCCAAGGAAGAAGGAACAGAAACAGGAAGUCGUGGCAGGACUCAGGGGAGGGACGUUAGCAGGGCCAUUUGGCCGAGAGCCUCAAGGUUGAGGAGCCUCAAGUUUUGGCUGCUGUUCAAUGACAAGUCUGUGCAGAGGAACACAGUGAGGCUUUCUUACAAAUGCAGACUUUGACCUUGAGCAAUGUGGUUUUCCCGGAGGCAUGCACUAGCCAUUACAGAAGAUGUUGCCAUGGUGACUUAUGAGUGCCCGCUGCUUGUGAGAGGGAGGAGCUCAGGCUGUGUCCUUCUGGAAGAGAGAGUUUUGUCGUGUUGAAACUCCUCCUACACAUUUGGUGGCCUCUCUCCAAGAUGGCACUUUGAGAUAUGAAAAGACUGUGUGUGUGUGCUCCUUGCAGACGCUCCUUUAGGGAAAGAGUUUUGUCUGCUUCAUCCAUCCCUGCUGCUCAGGACCCAGGAGAGAGCGGAGCAACGAUGCUGCAUUGACUGUCGCCAAGUAUAAGCUGAGGCAGGAAUCCAGGCUGCAGAGGGCAGUCAGUGGAUGGGAGCUGGCCUCAGGAUGUCUUCUGUAUCUGAUGACCUUCACCUCUGUCAGCUGCUUUAGGACUUCAGAAUCCCUCCAGUGCUGAAAAAGCCAAGACUUAAGUCAUUUCCUCUUGGUUACUUAAACCUUAUGUGUCAAACAGUGACCCAACAGGAGAAAAGAGGACAUGCUCAGAUGAGGACUGAAAGCUUCUGAAGAGAGACUAUUUGUAUCUUCACUUAGCACAAGACCGAGACAUAGCUGAAGCUCAAGAAAUGUAUUCAUUAACUCAUUCAUUAAAAAUAAUUGUUAGUGUGUGUUGCUUGUGAAAGGGUGGGCUGAGUGCUGGGAUGUAACAGUGCAAGGGACAGACGUAAUCCCUGCUUUCUGGCAACUCGGAUGAGGAACAAAUUAACUAAAUGUGAGAAGUAGAAAAGUUCCUCUUUUUUUUUUUUUGCCAAUCAGUGUGAGUUUGUAAGGUUACUCAGGUUAGCCUUGAACUCAUGACCUCGCCUUCGCAAGCACCACGACAUCCGGCGGGAGUCACUUUGGACCCCGAAAAGUUCCUCUUUACACUUUCCUUUCUUGUUAAAGAAUAAGUGUGCUGUUAACUCUUUGUUAAGCCCUAUCCUGUGUAGCUGUUAGAAUGCCAUGUUUACAGGCAUGUAGUAUAUUCUACGUCCUUGUACUUAGGUAUCUGUGCUGGACGUGCUCGCAGGCAUGUCCCAGCUCUCCAUUGCUUUUACCUGUUUAGAAAAGUUUUGGUCAGGUGCGGUGGCUCACACCUGUAAUCUCAGCACUUUGGGAGGCCAAGGUGGGCUGAUCACUAGGUCAGGAGUUCAAGACCAGCCUGACCAACAUGGGGAAACCUCGUCUCUACUAAAAAUACAAAAAAUUAGCCGGGUGUGGUGGCGCAUGCUUAUAAUCCCAACUACUUGGGAGGCUGAGACAGGAGAAUCACUUGAACCCGGGAGGCAUAGGUUGCAGUGAGCCAAGGUCUUGCCAUUACACUCCAGCCUGGGCAACAAGAGCAAAACUCCAUCUCAAAAAAGAAAAGUUUUAAGUUGGUAGCCAAUCAGGUUUUAGUAUAGAUUGUGAGGUCUGGCUCCAGCCAAUGGAGAUCAGACACAGCAGUAAGAACAACCCCAAACGCAUAAGGGAUAAAUAUGUCUGUUUUCCUUUGUUCAUUGUACUCUUGUGGCAAAAUGACUAGUGAGGGUACCCUUCCUGAAGUCCAGGAAGUAAAAAUUGUGUUGCUGAAAGAUCCUUUGUCUCAGUGCUAAUUUUUCUCUGCAGCACCAAGCAUCUGUUUCCAACAC